CUUUGCCAACUUUCCUCAUGUCUAUUGGUCUAGGUGCAAAAUAAAACACACACACACACAAAAGGAAAACCAAAGGCUUGCUCACCUCCUGUGACUCUACAGGGGAAUUCCAAUGACAGAGAACACCCUGUCCCUGCCUCCCACCUUUUCCACCCCACACAGAAGGAACAAGCCUACGGGAAGAAGUCAUUUCCCUGUUCCACCAUUUGUAAGCACAUUUUCCAGAUCAGUCACGACUUUUCAAUUUCAUAAGGCUUCCGCAUCCAAAGGAGAUGUAGGGUUGGUCUAACCUCACAACAGACUUAACUCCUUCUCAAAGGUAAAAUGCUUGUCAGCCUAAAGAAGAAUGGAAAUUGCAUGGUUGACGGAGGGAGAACUUCUGCACUGUUGGCAUACAAACAGGGCUCCAUGCUGAUGGCAACUUUGGGGUAAAGAUGGGGUUUAUUUUCCACAGGUCGUUAUCCACAGGAAAUCUAACUAGAGCUAAUGCAGCAGGACAGUUUGGCUAGGCUGUGGAAACAAAUGUUUGAGAGCCCUUAAGAUAACUGUCGCUCACCUUCCAGAUUCAUUAAUCGCUGGCAAGCUUCAUGAAGCCAUCUAGUAAGGAGGAAGCAAAGAGGAGGGUGUGGAAUAUAUGCCAAACAAAUCAUGCCCUUGUGCUGACAUCAAAGAUAGAACGCUCCAGUGAGAUGAAAUGUUAAGUCCUCUUUGCUCUGAGUGAAUCUGUGUGUAUAUGUGUGCAUGUGUCUGUGUGUGUGUGUGUGUGUGUGUGUGUGUGUGUGUGUGUGUGUGAGAGAGAGAGAGAGAGAGAGAGAGAGAGAGAGAGAGAGAGAGUGUAUGCAAAAGAGGGGCUGGGGGAGAACAGAGACAAGCAGCAACCAAAGAAAAAGUAGAAAAAUAAAGACAGGAAGAGAGCUAAGCAUUAGGGUGCAGGCUUGUAAUCUCAACACUCAAGAGCAUGCGACAGGACCAUUACUAUGAGUUCCAGGGAAGCCUGGGCAACAACAUGAGACCCUGUCUCAAAAACAAAAACAGACAAACAAAACAACAGAGAGGAAGAGCUUGGGGCCUAAAAAAACAAUGUGGCUCUAUGAUCCUAAACUGUAAACCGUGUCGCUUGAUCCCUUUCAUCUCACUCCCAUCUCUGCUGGGGGAUUUAUUACUGUGUCUGGAGGAAAUAAGAGUAAGAAGGCAGGACAGACACCCAAAGAGAUAAAACUUCAUAUAUGACCCUGUAGUCCUGCCUUCUGCAGAGAGCAAAGCAAAUACUGGAGCGCUCCAUCUUUUCUAUUAACUUUUAAGAAACCUGAUGUGGCUGUAAUAUUUCCUAAACUAGUUUCCAGCCAGGAUUUCCCAAGUGCAUCUAAUUGCCCACUUUAUCAAAGGCACUAUCAGGUAAAUGGUGUUUCACCUCCGCUGGGCCUGCUGAAGGUUGACACCCAGGACUUGUCAGGCAAUGGAUCACAGUGCUGGCAUGGGGGCCCCUUGUUCUGCAUUCCUGCAAGAGGGUGACAGUAAAUUAUGACAUCUGCCAGGAAGUUCUGAACAGGACUGUGCGACCGGAUACACCUACCCAACACAUGAGGAAAGCUUUUAGGAUGUGACUGGAGAUGUGGCUGAAAACUCUUAAAGGGACAAAGAGCCUUUGUCGACACAACAGAGGAGGAAGCUGAUUCCUGAUCAUGUUCUUCAGGACUGAAAACUUGUAUAGAUCCAGUGGGUGUGCAACAUAAAGAAAUAUGGAGGGUGGAAAAUUGUCUUUUGGACUUACUCUGUGCAGAAGACAGCCUACCUUUUAGUACUGAGGUACUUUGGAUGACUGGGACUGAGUCCUUAGAGCUAGCUCUGGACAACUGCAGAAUGCAUGCUCAAAGGUGAUCCAUGGAGCUGAGCUGUUCAAACACUUUGUCUCUCAGUCAGAGGUUGAAGAGUGAGCCAAUGGAAAGAAUGCGCCUGACAAUUACAUCCUACCUCCUGGAUGAGCAAAUCAGGUCAUUCACCAAUGCUGUUUACAUCUGUAGUUAAUUUCAUCUUAUCAAGACAGAUGAAGCAAAUCCAUUUUCUGUGAAUAGCAGGGUCUAGCAGACUCGAAUGACAGUCUGAAGACUGGUGUGAGAAAAAUCUUUGCUUGCCUACCAGGGCACAGGGUUCGUGUACCAAAAUGUUUCUGUGGAACUCAGUGGACAACCUUUAGGAGUCAGUUUGCUCCUUUCAUCCUGUGGGUUCCAGUCUGAGACCCCAGUUCAUGGAAUGGUACACCCUACACUCAGGAUGACUUUCUCCUCAGGCAACCUGUCUGCCAACAUCCUUACAGGCAAACCCAGACUCCUGGUAGCACUGAAACUAGGAAUGUUUAUCCAUGGGAAAUUAUUAUAUCCCUUUUAUUUGCCAAAGUGUUUGGGCCGUUGUCAAAGAAUAAAUAUCCCCAGGAGAAUGAGAAUAAGCCAACAUGGACAUAAGCCAUGAAUGACUUAGAAGAUCAAGGUAACAAUUUCUGGAAAUUUUUACAUAAGUGUACAUGUUUAUAGUGAUGCCAACACAUGUCUUAUGAAAUAUUAAAUGUUCAUUUACUCUUA